CCCAUCUAAAAAAACUCUCGAUCCCCAGUGUCCCACCCAUCGCCUGCCAUGGAUCACGCCGCCACUCCCCGCCCAGAUCAUUGUCUCCACUCCCCGCCCCAUCCGCCGCCACUGCCCAUCGCAUCCACCCUCUGUAGCAUCCCACCACCUCCAUCGCCACCUUAACCAUAUCUCUCCUUGAUCCUCUCCCUUGGACCAGCACGCGGCGAUGGCUACUUCCAGUCGUGUGGCGGUGAUGCGGCUGGUCGAGGAACCGCGCAGGAGGCGGGCUCUGUCCCGUCCGUUGAUCUAUCUCCACCUCCUGCUCCUCCGCUCAGAUCGAACGUCACAUCCGCAUUUACGAUGACACAUGACUCUCUCCUCUCCUGCGGCGAUGCCUAUAUGUGACAACAAUGGUGUCCUGUUGUGCCCCUCCACACUUUGGACCGCCGAGGCGCGGAAGUCUCCGGAUAAGAUCGCACUACGCGUAGCAAAUUCGACCAUGUUCUCAGUGGUUGCUCGGCAAGAAACAAGGUCACAUGUAUGAUUAGCAUCUUUUGGCAAAGGCAUGUUAAUUCACGGAGGAAAUACUACUGCACCUAUGACUAUGAGAGUAGAAGCCAAGUUGCUAACUCUUGAAAAUAUACGGUCCUUCUAUUUUUUUUCCCGUGCCUUGGGAGCUUUGGACGGAGUAUGGCGUCAAUAAUCAGUAUAUACCAGAACAAUAUUUUUGUGAUAUUGUAUAUACUAACUUUCUCGUAAUGGAGUAUAUACCACAUUUUUACCAUGGACUCUAUACCACAUUUUAGAAUUGGUUAGAACAGCUGAUGUCAUUUUUUAUAUUUUCCUUGUGGUAUAUGCUACCAUCAGAAGUAGUAUAUAAGGUGCUAAUUUCAAGUAUAUACUAUUGUACUGUAUUUUGUCUAUAUAUAUCUACAACCAAGUAGUAUGUACAGUGCUCUUUGUGCACGACAGUAUAUAGCAUAUGCAAUUAAAUCAAAGGGGGUAUAUAACAUACUUUUUAAUGAAGUAAGUAUACACUUUUUUUCAGAUGCAGUGUAUACAACAUUUUUUGCAAGGCAAUACAUAGUAUUCUUUUUGUGAAUCGGCUUACUACUUUUUUUAGUCAGUAUAUAGACAUAAUAUUUUAGUCGAUAUAUACUACUAUUCUUGAGUCGGUAUAUACGGCAACACACACAUACCAUGCCGCUGUUGUCGCUAGAUGGUGGUGCUGCAACAAGGAUCUGUGAGUGCAUGCCAUGCCCACUGCUCCUUAUUACCGCCGUUGUCGAUGAGAAUGGUUGUGCUGUCGCAUGGACUGAUUAGUGCAUGCCACGCCGACGCUGUUUCUUAACGUUGUCGUUGUCGACGAGAUGGUGCCGUCGCAUCCAUUGAUCAGUGGACCAACUCAGUAACGUCACAUCCUCUAUGUGACUAGCUGCGUCAAUGGAUUUGCACCUUGAUCCAGAUUGGUUUCAUGCAAAGCCUGUCAUGUUUGCCUAUUGUGCAGGAAUAGCAAGCACACGAGAAGGCCUGAUCGAAGACACUCACAGUUUAAGUUCUCGUGCCGUUGCGAUCGUGAGGAUUCGUUCGUCUUCGUGGCUUCC